CUACAUGCUGAAGGAUAUUUAAGGCCCAGCCUUAAGGAGGGAACUUGGAACUCUUUUGGCUGAGUUUCCACUGGUGCACACCAGUAAAAUAUACAGUCCUUUUGCCUGAUUGGAUUGUCUAUGGGUCUUCCUUGGUGGUGGGCGAAUACCUGGACCCUAACACAUGGAAGUUAUGAAGAAUAAGUUUGUGCAAAACCCUGUCAAUCACUGAUGACUUUUUUGAAAGCACAAAACUAAUGGUACAGAAAAUUUGAAGUCCAAUGGGAACAAAAGCAACAUCUGCUUUCUAAGAGCUAGGGAAAAUAAUCACCUGGAAGAACAGAAGACCAAAAAUAUUGAAAGAAUUAAAGAAAAAAGUGAAGGAAGAUGGCUUAGCUCUAUAGAAUCUCAAGUUGUAUUAUAAAGUGGCAACCAUCAAAACAAUCUGGGAC
rnacentral:lncRNA from 1 species